UACGGAGGGUGCAAGCGUUAAUCGGAAUUACUGGGCGUAAAGCGCACGCAGGCGGUCUGUCAAGUCGGAUGUGAAAUCCCCGGGCUCAACCUGGGAACUGCAUUCGAAACUGGCAGGCUUGAGUCUUGUAGAGGGGGGUAGAAUUCCAGGUGUAGCGGUGAAAUGCGUAGAGAUCUGGAGGAAUACCGGUGGCGAAGGCGGCCCCCUGGACAAAGACUGACGCUCAGGUGCGAAAGCGUGGGGAGCAAACAGGAUUAGAUACCCUGGUAGUCCACGCCGUAAACGAUGUCUACUUGGAGGUUGUGCCCUUGAGGCGUGGCUUCCGGAGCUAACGCGUUAAGUAGACCGCCUGGGGAGUACGGCCGCAAGGUUAAAACUCAAAUGAAUUGACGGGGGCCCGCACAAGCGGUGGAGCAUGUGGUUUAAUUCGAUGCAACGCGAAGAACCUUACCUGGUCUUGACAUCCACAGAACUUUCCAGAGAUGGAUUGGUGCCUUCGGGAACUGUGAGACAGGUGCUGCAUGGCUGUCGUCAGCUCGUGUUGUGAAAUGUUGGGUUAAGUCCCGCAACGAGCGCAACCCUUAUCCUUUGUUGCCAGCGGUCCGGCCGGGAACUCAAAGGAGACUGCCAGUGAUAAACUGGAGGAAGGUGGGGAUGACGUCAAGUCAUCAUGGCCCUUACGACCAGGGCUACACACGUGCUACAAUGGCGCAUACAAAGAGAAGCGACCUCGCGAGAGCAAGCGGACCUCAUAAAGUGCGUCGUAGUCCGGAUUGGAGUCUGCAACUCGACUCCAUGAAGUCGGAAUCGCUAGUAAUCGUGGAUCAGAAUGCCACGGUGAAUACGUUCCCGGGCCUUGUACACACCGCCCGUCACACCAUGGGAGUGGGUUGCAAAAGAAGUAGGUAGCUUAACCUUCGGGAGGGCGCUUACCACUUUGUGAUUCAUGACUGGGGUGAAGUCGUAACAAGGUAACCGUAGGGGAACCUGC
rnacentral:rRNA from 1 species